UGACGUCGUCCACAACGGUUAUGUCAGCACCACCCAAUGCGAGAAAUGAAAGCCGCUAGCGUGCCAGAGGAAGAUUUAAAUGGCUCUGUUUUAUCAUCCUGUGUGGCAUAUUCAGCAAUACUCACUUCAAGCAAGAUUAGGUAUGCCUGCCUCCUGUGCACACAACAUGUUCUGAUUCACGGUUAAUGGACACACAGUGGGUCCAAAGUAGGUCAACACAGCACUUCAAAUUAGUUUUAGUUGAUCACUUUUAUCAAAGUUAUUGCGCAUUUAUCAAACGUAGUUAAAUCUCGUAAAUCACCAGAGUCAAAAUUACGGCUUUGGGGUCAGAUUUGGCCUACCACUUAAUUUCAUGGGCCUUGCUAAAUCAUGUGCGUCCUGUUCAUGGUUCUUUAUAAA